GACGAAUGCUGGCUGCGUGCUUAACACAUGCAAGUCGAACGGUGAAGGAGGGCUUGCCCUCCGGAUCAGUGGCGAACGGGUGAGUAACACGUGGGCAACCUGCCCCUCACUCUGGGAUAACGCCGGGAAACCGGCGCUAAUACCGGAUACGACCAGGCGCGACAUCUCGCCUGUGGAAAGAAUUUCGGUGAGGGAUGGGCCCGCGGCCUAUCAGCUUGUUGGUGGGGUAACGGCCCACCAAGGCGACGACGGGUAGCCGGCCUGAGAGGGCGACCGGCCACACUGGGACUGAGACACGGCCCAGAAUCCUACGGGAGGCAGCAGUGGGGAAUAUUGCGCAAUGGGCGAAAGCCUGACGCAGCGACGCAGCGUGAGGGACGAAGGCCUUCGGGUUGUAAACCUCUUUCAGCGGGGACGAAGCGAAAGUGACGGUACCCGCAGAAGAAGCACCGGCUAACUACGUGCCAGCCGCCGCGGUAAGAC
rnacentral:rRNA from 1 species